rnacentral:rRNA from 1 species
AUUGAACGCUGGCGGCAGGCUUAACACAUGCAAGUCGAGCGGGGGAAGGUAGCUUGCUACUGGACCUAGCGGCGGUCGGGUGAGUAAUGCUUAGGAAUCUGCCUAUUAGUGGGGGACAACAUCUCGAAAGGGAUGCUAAUACCGCAUACGUCCUACGGGAGAAAGCAGGGGAUCUUCGUCCCUUGCGCUAAUAGAUGAGCCUAAGUCGGAUGAGCUAGUUGGUGGGGUAAAGGCCUACCAAGGCGACGAUCUGUAGCGGGUCUGAGAGGAUGAUCCGCCACACUGGGACUGAGACACGGCCCAGACUCCUACGGGAGGCAGCAGUGGGGAAUAUUGGACAAUGGGGGGAACCCUGAUCCAGCCAUGCCGCGUGUGUGAAGAAGGCCUUAUGGUUGUAAAGCACUUUAAGCGAGGAGGAGGCUACUCUAGUUAAUACCUAGGGAUAGUGGACGUUACUCGCAGAAUAAGCACCGGCUAACUCUGUGCCAGCCGCCGCCGUAAGAC